AAAGAGGCGUGCGCGUCCUUGCGUGGUCCUGCUUCGACCUGUGGUCUCUCUGGCUUCUGGUCGGGUGGGGAAGGUUUAUGGGGUGGAACGUGAGAGACAGGCUUGGGCACUUUUGCGUCUGGCAGUUAGGCAGCAGGUGGUAGUUUCCAUGAUGGGGACGCAGGGGCAGCGCCAAAGGGCCCCAGAGAACGAGGCAUCCAAGGGGGAAGGGGUGUGGGAUACGAGCCGACUGAGGGGAGACGCGCCCAAAGCCGGGGACCUCACUACCCCAGAGUCGACCUUGAAAGAGCCCUCGAGUCAGACUGAGGAGAUGGGCAGUAUCCUCCGACAAUGGAAAGCCGUUGUUCGCUUCAGGGGAGACGCGCUGUGACCCAAAAGUCAUUUUACCGUCAUCACUAUUGCUGCAGUUCAUUCAGAAGGGUUUUGGGGGAGGCCAUUGAAGGCUGAGCAGCAGCCCAGGGAGAGUUGAUGGGGGCUGAUGGUGGGAGUGGCAGCAUGGAUUCAGUGGAUGAUGAGGGAUCAGGGAGUGGGGCGAGUUGAGGAUUCCCAGUUUUCUGGUGUGGGCUGUAGGCCUGUCUGCAGAUACUCUCACCUAGUGGAAUUCUUUUCCGUAACCUGUCUUAACUUAAUGAGAGGCUUGAUGGGUAAAUGGUUAAAGAUGCACGUGCACAUCCCUUCACCAAACCAUUCAGAUGCUCACACUAAACCCAAAGGCCACUCGUUCACUUAUGCACACAGCUCAGUUAUACCUACCCUUGUGAACACACCGGUAUGUAGUACACACAGCCACAUAACAAUUCAUGAUCACAUACUCCUGGCAUCAAACAAAGGGUAAAUAUAUCCAUCUCAGUUUAAACGGCCUCUGCUAUCUUGGGCGAAGUGUGACCUCCACACAAGAAGGACCCAGGUUGACUUCCUCAGUCCUCUCUGGAAACUUCAAACAGCUCAGCCUUUAUCCUUUCUCUUGGCUACAUCCACCUCCUCUAAGGUCCUCUGACUCUUCCUAGUCAUCUUCUGCCACUCUGGCUUGAUGGGAGGGAGAUAGAAAUGGGCUUGAAUUCAGACAAGGGCUUUGCUUAUCUGAAAUGUGUUUGCUGAGGUUCUUAUUCCCAGAGCAGUAGCUCUGAACAUAAUAUUUCGUGUGUGCUGAAUUCUGUUGAGAAUCCAAAGAAAGUUGUGAACCCUCUUCCUGGAUAAACACACAUCUUUACAUCCACACUGUUUUGAAAGCAAAAUUGAAACCCAUAUGUCGGGCCCUGGUUAAGAACCUCACCAGAAGAUCAGAACAUCAGUUUCCUGAUUGCCCUCUGUCUUAGCUCAUUCAGGCUGCUCUAACAAAAUACCUUAGACUAGGUAAUUUAUAAGUAACAGAAAUAUAUUGUUUACAGUUUUGGAGGCAAGGAAGUCCAAGAUCAAGGACUGGACUGGUGAAGGCUUACUCUCUGCUUCAAAGAUGAUGCUUGGGGCUGGGCGCGGUGGCUCACGCCUGUAAUCCCAGCACUUUGGGAGGCCAAGGCAGACGGAUCACGAGGUCAGGAGAUCGAGACCAUCCUGGCUAGCACGGUGAAACCCUGUCUCUACUAAAAAUAAAAAAAAAAAUUGGCCGGGCAUGGUGGCAGGUGCCUGUGGUCCCAGCUACUUGGGAGGCUGAGGCAGAAGAAUGGCAUGAACCCGGGAGGCAGAGCUUAUAGUGAGCCGAGAUCAAGCCACUGCACUCCAGCCUGGGCGACAGAGCGAGACUGUCUCAAAAAAAAAAAAAAAGAUGGUGCCUUGUAGCUGUGUCCUCACAUGGUGGAAGGGCCAAAGGGCCAAGUUAGCUCCCUUCAAUUCCAACUCCUUUUAUAAGGCCACUAAGCCCAUUCCUGAGGCAGAGCCUUCAUGAAUUAAUCACUUCCCCAAAGGUCCCAUCUCUUAAUACUAUCACAUUGGGUAUUAGGUUCCAAUAUAUGAAUUUGGGGAGAUCACCAAUAUUCUGACCAUAACACCCUUUCUGCAGUCUUCAAGUGGCUCAAGAGGGGGAGAAGAAUAGGGUCUCAAUCCCCAUAGGAGUUGGAGUGUGAGGAAGGGGCAGCCUCUUCUCCCAUCCAUCUGUAACCCUUAGUUAUGGAGCCAGACAUCAGUUAUUGUUGGUCCUCCACUGGGCAGUCAGUCAUUCAGCUGGUUAAAGAGUCAGUUAUGUAGUCAGUUUAAGCUUGUCAGAUGUUUAGUUACCUACAGUUAGUACAUCAGUAAGAAAUCCAGUAGGUGGCCAGGUGUGGUGGCUCAUGCCUGUAAUCCCAGCACUUUGGGAGGCCGAGGCGGGCAGAUCACGAGGUCAGGAGAUUGAGACAAGCCUGGCUAACACAGUGAAACCCCGUCUCUACUAAAAAUACUAUAUGUAUAUAUAUAUAUAUAUAUAUAUAUAUGGUGGCGGGCGCCUGUAGUCCCAGCUACUUAGGAGGCCGAGGCAGGAGAAUGGCAUGAACCCGGGGGGCAGAGCUUGCAGUGAGCGGAGAUCACGCCACUGCACUCCAGCCUGGGCAACAGUGCGAGACUCCGCCUCAAAAACAAAAAACCAAAAAGCAACAAAAAAAGAAAUCCAUUAGGUCAAUCAAGUGAUUUGUGUGUUUAGAUAUUUAAUCAGCCAACCAGCCAGUCAAUUACUCAGGAUUAACUUUUCAGAUAGACAGUGGUCCAUCAGGAUCCAUCAGUCAGAAAGUCAAUUUAAUGGUCAGUCUGUCAAUCAGAGUGCUAGUUGUUUAAAAUGCUAAACACCUGGCUCAUCAGUGGGACAAAAGGGCAGCUGGGGUGAGGCCAUCUGGACACAGAGCGUGUCUCUACUUGCUACAGCUGGAAAAUAAUGUACACAGGUGGGGAGAAGAUUUGACUCCUCCUGGGCCGCCAGAGGGAGCUUUGGUUUGCUGGGAAAGAGGCCUCACGUGGUGUGGUUGACAGGGAAAGAGGAAAAGCGGCAAAACGUGGGCCAGGCGGAGUUGCCACCAGAAGGUGGUGUGGCCUUCCUUCACGUCUCCACCCUGCAUACUCCAUCGGCUUAACUUUAGGCUUGAAGGAGCCCACUUCUGGCCGGCUUUUGAGGAAAGGCCCCUGGAAGGACUUCCCAUCCUAGGGCGUACCUAAUUGAGGCAUGCUUGGCUCUGAGCUGGGAGGAAGCCAGCCGGCUACCCACCAGGAGAAGGACUUGCCCUCCCUGGUUGUCAGGGGCAUGCCAGCCAAAGCACCGGGCAAUGGGGGAAGAGAGGGAAACUGGGGUGGGGAUGCUGGGGUAUGGGGAAAUCAAUACCAUACCUGUCUGCCCAGGAGCAAGGCAGGGAGCAGCUUCCUAAAGCUGAGGCACUGAGGGCAGGAUCUCUGGUUUGUGGGAGUCUACACCAUAUCCAGGGCUACUUCUCAUUCAGCUUCUCCAGGGGCCACACUUUGAGCCUCCAUACUCCCAUUCUUUUGCUGAACUCUGUGGUCAGCAGCUUCCUCUCAAAUGAACAGCAAGUCCAACUAAAGCAGGAAGGAUGGAAGUUAGACAUAGAUAAUGAAGAAACAAGGGGAAAGGAUGAACCCUCUUGGGGAAUAGUGGAGAUGUUUAUAUAAGGUUCCAAAUGCAGUGUUGGGCACAAAGGCAGGAUUCAGUAAAUUUGAGUCCCCCCAAGGGAGGUGCAUGUGGCCAAUGCGUUGUAGCUCCUACUUAUGCAUAAAGCAUGAUUUGAUGCCUCCAGAUGGGCUUCUUGGCUUUAAAAAGAGGGCAAUGCAGCGUGAGCAGGAGCUACGGCUGAACAUUAUCUGGGUUUGAUCUUUUGCUGCAAGCAGGCUGAUGUUGCCAUCGGAAGAUUGUGUGAAAACUGACGGCAAGUGUGUGAUUUGUGACCGCUGUGUCUGUCCCUUCACCCUGGUAUGCUUAUAUGAUGAGUGUAACUAUGGCUUUUACCAGGGACACUGUGAGAUCUGUGGAGGCCAUGGGAGUCUCUGAUGCCUAUUAUUGUAAGGAGUGCACCAGCCAGGAGAAGAAUAGAGAUGGCUGCCCAAAGAUUGUCAGCUUAGGGAGCUCUGAGACAGGCCUCUUCCAUGAACGUCAAAAAUGUGGCAUCAGAAAGAGGUGAUUGGUGGGUGGCCCCUUCCUUCCCUGCAUCGAGCUGCAGCAGCUGCCAGAAAUGACGCCUACAACUAUCAACAGAAAGGGAGCGGAGCCCCGGGCAUCGCCGAAGUGCCUGCCGGUGUACUGGGACCCUGCCACCUCUCCCUCCCCUUUCGUACAAAUGUGUGAUAGGGAUGGAAAAGGAUUCUUUACAGAACACCCUGGCAGACUGAAUCACAGAAGAAUCGAUAGAUUAGUUACUGUUUUUUCUUGAAUUUGAAAAGCAAGGUUCUGUCCUGCAUAUGGAUAUGUCCUCCCUACCCGGAGAGCUUCUAAAAACAAGUCACGGUUCAGUCUUCUGCUUGAGGAGCUGACUGUGAAGCUGCAUGCAGUAAAAGACGUGUCCUUGAGGAGACUUCAGUGUGUGGCAGGAAGCUAUCAGAACAAGAAAUGAGGACCUUUCAUCUUUCACAUUAAAAAAAAAUGUGGGCAGGGCUGUCAUUCUGGUUUCAACUGGUUUUGGUGUCUCAGAGCAAUGGAGAGAGUCAUUUGUGAGAAAUAAUGACUCCUGCCAGGUGGAGAUGGUCCAUGUGUCUGGAGCUUCACAUACACUCUGCGGGAGUCAUCAUCCCUGGUUUAGGGAUUGUAGGAGCCUGGGUACCUUGCUUGAGGCUCCACACCUGCGAAGUGGUAGAGAACUGGAUUUGAGCUUGGUCUAUAUGGUUCCAAAGCUCUUUUUCUAGGUGAUCACACUGGAGACCACAGAUAGGGAAGGGGAGAAGAGUGGAGGACUGAGAAAUCACUGGCUUCUGAAGUGCUCUGGAAGCGACUGUCCUCUCGGAGAUCCUGUCAAUCUCACACCCCACACCAUGAUCCAAGACGCUUUUUCUGUCUUCCAGACAUGCAGAAAAUCCAUCAACAACUGCAGUCCAUGUACUCAGGGAGGCCCUUAGGGAGCCUGGAUUUUAUCUGGAAGGCUGUGGAGGGCCAAGGAAGCGUUUUUAAUUUGAUUUACGCUGUCAUGAAUGUAAAAUCUAUACAUGCCGGAGAGAACUAUUUAGUAUGUAUUGGUAAGCCAUCACACAUGCUUUCUGUAGACCCCUGUGAGGAAUGUUUAAUAUAAUGAUAUAAUGACUAUGAGUAAAAAAAAAAAAAAAAAA
rnacentral:lncRNA from 1 species